UUGGACAAGCGAAAGAAAAGGAGUGAGGGAGAACGCAACAAUUUCUUCGAAUGUUUUGGAUCUUUGUGGAGUUGCCGCUGGGGUCAAACGGAUGGAUCAGUGUAUCGAUGACAGCCAGUGUGAUAAGUUGUGAAGAAGCGGAACCAAGAGUGAACUUGCUGUAAUCCAAGUUGAAUCAUAUCAUUUCAAAGUGAACCAAGGCGCCAGAAGUGGACAUUGCAACCUUUUUCUUUCUACCAUUUCCCUCCCAAUAACCCUCCCAAUGAGUGAGAUGUUUACCGGUAGUGUCUACUGCGCAAUAUGGGCACAUUGCUGAGCUCUCGUUGUGUAGAAUGUGAAGAUGCGUGUGAUGCGGGUGUUUGUCCUAUCCUUAAUCUCAUUAAGGUUCUCUGGUAGCUGCGUGAAGGGUGAUCAUUCCAGGAUGAUCUAUUGUUGUUUUAAUGAGUUUGAGCCGUUAAUCGUUGGAUUUUUGCCACUCUAUUUUCCAGUGCAGUUUUAUCUGGUAAUGCAGUCGGCGACGAAAGUCAUGGCACUGGAUGACUUGUUGUUUUGUGAUACGGUGGAUGCGAAAACCUACGAAAGCUGAUGCAUUUCAUGUUGGGUAGUUGUUUUAUAUGUUGGAUGUAUGGAUUGUUGAAGUUUCCGUGUUCUAUUGCCUCUAGUACCGGAGCGCUGUCGGUAAACAUAACACACUAGGCGUUUUGAGGUGCUAUUUCUUCGGCUGCUUUGAUGAUAGCUAUUGCUUCCGCUGAGAAGAUGGUGGUGUGACAAGGCAGUUUGAGUUGUAGGCAAAGUGAGUGUAUAUACUGCACAGCCGGCGUUGGGUGGUAGAACUGAUCCAUCGGUGUAAAUGUUGUAGUGGUCUUAGUAUUUAUCGGCUAUUUCGAUAAAGUGUUGUAGUAUGACCAAACUAUUGUUGUUAUGCUUGCAUCGACCGGUCUAUCUAGUUGAUGGGAUUGUACCACGGUUUUUUGCUUGUUUUUGUUGAUGUCAUGGCCUAUGAUACUUCAGUGGAAGAACGCCGCAUUCAACUAGUGCUGCAUCGGUUGGACUGGUUCUGAAGCAUCCCGAUAUGUAUUUGACGGCCCGGUGGUACAGUGGAGCGAACUGUUGGAUAAGAUCUGUGGAAUCUAGUGAGGCAACCUCCGCCCCGUACAGCAGCCGCGGCAAGAACCAGCCCUUUAGGACUGCCAACAGCGCUGGGCGAGGGGUGUUAUUCUGUGCCAACGUACGGAUGAUAUGUCAGCGAGGUAUGGUGCGUCUUUUAAUUUCCCUGCAGUGAUGCCCGAAGGUGAGUUUUGUUAUGAAAAAUAAUGCCCAAUUUGAUCUUUUAAUGUAGCUUUAGGACGGCAGCGGGCUUGUGUAACUCCGCUUGGUAUGUGUAGGAUUUUACCUUUUGAAGCUGCUAUGGAGUUGGUCCACUGGUGUACCAUGUGACUGGUUGUUGUAAUUUGCGUCGUGUAGUCUUGGCGUAAUGGAAUGUGGAAACCAGUAUGAUGUCGUCAGCGUAGUGAAAGGUGUGUAUGUUGUUUGGGAUAGAUAGUAUGAAGGACUCGAUGUGGCUGAUGAGGAAGAGUGUGGGAGAUAAAGAAGACCCUUGCGGAACUCCGUUUUCUAGUGGAAAGGGAGGCGGGAGGUAUGGGAGCCAAGGAGGAUUUUGAAUGUGUGAUCGGUUAGGAAGUUGGCCGUUAAGCGGCCAUCUAUGCCCCAUUUAGCCAAAGUAUCGCAAGGUAUGUUUCCAUACUUAUGCCGGGUCCGAAGGCGUGUUGGAGUUUGUAGAGGAGUUUGCGGUCUUCAAGUUUUGUGAUGAGCCUCUUAUUAAGGAUAAGAGGAGAGGUGUUAGCUGCAGGGUUAGUUUGGUCGUCGAAUGUGUAUGCAUAGAGUUAGUACCGAAUAUCGAAAGCAGAAGUCUAGUUCGUUAGCGUUAGAUCGGUAUCAGACGUUACUUUCGUUUGCGGGAUUUGUGUUUCCCGCCUUUUGGUGGUUUUACUUUCGGUGGUGUGUUGUUGUUGCUGGGAGAGAUUUCCUGCUUAAUGAUUGAGCCAGUGGAAGCAUCAGUGGAGGUUGAGGAGGGAGUUUUUCGUUCCGGUGUGACCGGGGCAGAGGUGUUCGAGUCCUUAUUCGUUGCUGUGUUAGUGUCCGCGUUUGUGUUGAUUGUGUCCAUGCUUUUACUGUUCGGCGUGUUGUUCGAGUUGGCGUUUUCGAUGUCAUUGUCUUUGCGUCGGGAUUGGAUCUGGCUUUUGAAGAAGUCACGUUCCUCAAUCACUUUCUGGAACUUUACGGAGGCCGAAUUUAACAUGGCCUUUAACUUUUCUAUUGUUGCGUCGCGUUCGGCCAGUGCCGUGUCGUUUUGUUGUUGUUGUUGUUGGUGGUGGUGGUGGUGGUGUUUUUGUUGGUGUUGUUGUUGAGCGCCGGUCAGUCGCUUUUGGACGCCGGACUCACCAUUUUGACUAUACAGUCUGCGAGCUUCGGAGUAGGUAAUCCCACACUGUGCCGUUUUGCGAGCGUGGAUGGGAAUUAUUUGCACCGGGGUACCAUCGAUUAAUUUAUUAAUCUUUAGCAGCUUGUCGAACUGCUCCCGACUCUGCGUUCUCAUUAAGAGCUUGAACUGUGAACUCUUUUCGAUCGGCACGCAAGGCUCGAUGGGACCGACGAACGGCGAGAGGCUUUUCUCGAUCAAAAACGCGUUCUUCGGAAUGGCAAAACCCUUCUGGGGCGCCAAAAUCAAAUAUCGCGGUUCGCCCUGUACGUCCGCUGGAUCCAUCCAGCCGGGGACCUGACGAUCACUUUUAUUCACCGGUGGGGUUCCACUAUGGCCCGCCAUCUUGCCUACGGGCUCACUACACUAAGACGCACCAAACGCAAGUUCGCUUCCGUCCGUUGGCCCAAAAUAAUCCCCCCACACAAUCACUAGUCAAACAGUCACCAAAAAUAACCGGUACUCACCGCUGGCAAACGGUCACGAGGCAGAAAAUCCACACUACCUAGGAUUCCAGGCUCCCCGGAAGAUGGCGUCGGUUGAGAAAUGGCGUCGCAGAAUACUAUGGCGUACGGCGUCGCAGAAUACUGGGUACAAGCGUUCGCAGCGUGUUUCUUCUCCGGAGGCUAGAACACGAUUGAACAGGAUUUGGUGCUUUUUUUGGUUGGCAGCACACCCCAAGCCCUUCAAAAAGCCCACGCAAAGCUCACCCCCACCCCGCGGUCUACGCGAGAUGCAGCGAUGAUGCGCGCGUACGUGUCCUGCGCAGCACUCUCAGCGCGGCGUGGAGGUGCGAAAGAGACGACGCUAUGGAAGCAUGCAAAAAGCGCACAGAACUGGAAGCUUCCAAUGCUUUCGCUUUAAUCAUAGGCAAAACGCUAGGAUUGAAAACGAUCUAUUUGUUUGCAUAUGUCGAUAAAAGUGAGUAAUUCGCAUUACUAAACCGGUGAUCCACAACGCGCGGACAACGGAUUUUACUGUACCAGGGAACAGUUUCUCGAUUCGACACCCCUGCACGGGCCGUGCUUACGGGCGCAGUGACAGCGUACGUCAGUGUUUUUUUCUGCGGUCGGUCGCUAGCUGGAGCACAUUGAAGGUAAACAUUGGAAAGGAAAGUUUGGAUAAGCUGCAGUGAAGUUGUGCUUGUUUCGAUGGGAAAGAUGAGGCUGUCUGAGCGAAUGGUUCAAAAUAAUCUACUCCCGUACUCGAAGGUGCUGGUUUGCUCACACGACAACGGGUGAGAAUGUGUGACAACGAAGCGAGCUUCUGCUGGGACAGCGGCCGUACAAAAGGAAAUAUCUCCAUCUCUCCGUUUGGGACAGUUGCUGCGCGAAAGGACGAAGCAGUACAAUCCCACAACGGCACGAACGGGUGGUCGUGCCGAGCUGCUGGCCGGUGGCCGGAUUGCACUGUACGGCGAUUCAACGCAUCUGGAGAAGCCGUGCUACACGACGACGGGCGAGAAACGUCCCAUACCUGUGUGUCAACGGCUAGAGUGGGAAUAUCCGGUCACGCUGCACAUGUCCAGCUUAAGCUUCGGCACCGGUCCAAACGAUCCAACAUCAUCUACUCGUCCAGGAACUAAAGCAAGGCCCACCGCAACCAAUCAUGCUGUUGGUGGGGAACGAGCUCGUCUACAGCAGCCGGGGUCGUAGAUUGGAAAGUCAGAAAGGUGGUAAUGCCGCACUCGGCGCCAACGAUGAAACGAUGAACGAAUGAGGCGCCUUGUGGUAGAUGUAUCUUGUUGAAGAAAAGGAAAAUGUCUAUGGGAAAGGUCCCCAAAUGAGCGAUGUGUGUGUGGGGAGAGCAACAGAAGCAGCAAAAGGAUGAACAUACAUUUUAUCAAUCCGUAUUGGUGUGAAUGUGUUCCUAGCCCACACGGGGAGGAACACAAAAUAAAGAAGAAAAUAUGUUUAUAACGAACACACAAGCGCGAGCGAGGAUGGUGGCGAUUGUUUGAAAGAAAAGGCCUCCUUUGAUUGCGAAACAGAACAGGAGCAAAGGAGACAAAAAGGAACAGCUAGGUGAGUUUGAACCGAUCGGUGGCGGUGGUAUUGUUCUUGUUGCGAAAGAAUGCAAGUGAGGGAGAACGGGACAGUUUCUUCGAAUGUGUUGGAUCCGUGUGGAGUUGCCGCUGGGGUCAAACCGAGGGAUCAGUGUAUCGAUGGCAGCCAGCGCGAUGAGUUGUGACGAAGCGGAACCAAGAGUGAACCAAAGCGACCAAGAGAAGUGGAAAUUGCAACUUUUUUCUUUCAACCAUUUCCCCAAUAACCCAACAACGAGUGAGAUACUUCAGUGGAAGAACGCCGCAUUCAACUAGUGCUGCUUCGGUUGGACUGGUUUUGAAGCAACCCGAUAUGUGCUUGACGGCCCGGUGGUAUAGUGGAGCGAAUUGUUGAAUAAGAUCUGUGGAACCUAGUGAGGAAAUCUCCGCCCCGUACAGCAGCCGCGGCAAGAACCAGCCCUUUAGGACUGCCAACAGCGCUGGGCGAGGGGUGUUAUUCUGUGCCAACGUACGGAUUAUAUUUAAACGAGGUAUGGUGCGUCUUUUAAUUUCUCUGCAGUGAAGCCCGAAGGACGGUUGCGGACACGUGUGAUUCCGCUUGGUAUAUGUAAAAUUUUGCUCUUUGAAGCCGCUAUAGAGUUGCCGGUCCAGUUGGUCCACUGGAAAACCUUGUUGACAGCAUGCUGUAGCUUGAGUCGUGCGGUCUUGGCGUAGUGGUGUGUGGAAACUAGUAUUAUGUCGUCAGCGUAAAGGAAGAUGUGUACGUUUGUGGGGAGGGAUAGUAGUAGGGAUUCGAUGCUUAUAAGGAAGAGGGUGGGAGACAAAGAAGACCCUUGCGGAACUCCGUUCUCAAGAGGGAAAGGGCGGGAAGUGUACGAGCCUAGCAGGAUUUUAAAGGUCCGAUCGGUUAGGAAAUGUUGCAGAAAUGCCGUUAAGCGGCCACCUAUGCCCCAUUUUGCCAAUUGAUCUAAUAUGUAGUAUCGCCAGGUGCGGUCAAAGGCCUUUGACAGGUCAAUGAUUGCGCAGAUAAUGUGUUUUCCUUUGUUCCUUGCUGUAGAGAAACACUGCUCUAAUGUCGCAAGGUAUGUUUCCAUACUCUUGCCGGGUCGAAAGGCGUGUUGGUGUUUGUUGAGGAGUUUACGGUCUUCGAGCUUCGUAAUGAGUCUCCGGUUGACCAUUUUCUCCAUCACCUUGCAGGUGCAAGGGAGUAGAGAGAUGGGCCGGUAGCUAUUGGCACUAUUGCUGGGUUGAUUAGGUUUGGGGAUAGGCACUAUCAGACUAUUUUUCCAUUCUGAUGGGAUGUUUCCGGUGGUCCAGAUAUUGUUGUAAAUAGCGAGCAAACGGUAAUGAGCAAUGAGAGGUAGAUUUUUGAGCAAAGGGUAGCCGAUAUUGUCGGCACCGGCAGAGUUUCCCUGGCAGCUGUUAAGUGCCCAGUGGAGCUCUCUUAUGGAAAACAGUUGAUUGUACGAUUUGUGGUUUGUGUCAGGAAAAGUGAUGGGAAGGUUGGACUCGGUAUUUAUUUUGUGAGCUAUGAAACUGGAAGAGUAGUUUUUGGUGGCUGAGGAGUUGUAGAAGUGAUUGCCGAGUGUUUGGGCAAUUUCGGGCGUGGAUGUAAUUGAUUGGUUGUUUUCGAUCAAAGUGAAGGUAGAGGAUGGUUUUUCCCAGACAUGUAGUUUAUCUGUCCCCAGACCUGUUUGAGUGUACUGGAUGGCUUGAUACUGUGCGCCAAGCUAGUCCAACCGGAGGCCUUAGCCUCUUGGAUGGCCCGCUUAGCUUUGGAGUUGGCUAUGCGAUAUAGGCUGGCUAGAUGAGGUGUAAUGGGGUUGUUGGGAAUACGAGUGCUCCGCCGCAGUUUGCGAAGGGCGGAUCUGCGUUCUUUGAUGGCUAAUUGAACGUCCUUGUUCCACCAGGGUACGGAUUUGCCGGAUUUGAA